rnacentral:sRNA from 1 species
CCACUCUAAUUUUUUCAACCGGUCAAAGCGCGCGCUUUUCCGCCAGCUCCGCGUUUCGGGCCGUGAAAAGCCGGAAAAUAGUGAAAAAUCCUACGUGAAAAAAUGUCGCACAGCUUCGCAGUGAAGUCUAGAAGUGAAUAAACAUAAAAUAUGUCCGAAAAUUUGUGUUUAAGUGCACUUGCUCUGGUGCGGGGGCGAAAUGGCAGAGAAAUUGGUGCAAGUGAAGUGCAACAAGUGUUUUUUUCUUAUUAGCAUUUUCUUUUAUGUGUUUCUUUUAAUUUCUUUCAUGUGCAAUAUGGGCGCAGCACCCCGGGGCACCCAUCAUUUUUUUUUCUUAGGCGUUUGCUCACGUGAUCUAGCGUUGUGGUGUGUGUGUGAAAAAUAUGCAAAAGGGCGCGCAGUUUUGCUCUCUCCCUCUCUCCAAAUGGAAGAAGGAAAAAAUGCAGAAAGAAUUAGCGAUGAGCGACGACCGCUCUCAAUGCAAGCAUCGCGAUAGUAAAAGCCUUGCAAAGAUUUGCGGUGGAGCCCCCAGGCACUAUCUGUUCUAAAAGUGGUAAGCAUGACUGUUUAUUUCCUUAAAAAAGCAAAACCCCAGUUGCCAAGAUCAUCUAAAUAUAUACCUUAUCCCUAGCCGUGACUCACGGACCAGUCUGGGAAAUGGUAAUUAUAAUGAAAGAGAAUUACUCACGGCACCCCACUCACUACUCACCAGUGGCAUGCGAACAAAUAUGAUUUGUACUCUUUGUGCGAGUGCAUGCUCGGGCUAUUGUAUGCACUCGUUGUCCUACGGUCUGGGGCUACAGUGGGGCCUGCCUCCUAGUUUCCCAGAGCUCUAUGGUCCAUGAAUUAAGUGUGGCCUUCGUCUUAGAGAUGCCCCACUGUAUUUGUAAUUUCAAUUACGGUUUACACGAAUCUCCCCAUGCUGCUGCCUCCCUCGCUCGCUCGCCAGUCGGCGAGCUUCGGCUGCUAUCAGCUCUGCCGAGGCCGCUGCCGUCGCCCGUCUGCUGCCGUUGCUCUCUGCCGACGCCUCUGUCGACUGCAGUCCGUGCAGUUCAA